CUAUAUGACCUAGCCUUAGGUGCCACAGAUACUUAUCAUUUAGACUAUCUCUAGGCCUUUUAAUUCCUAUGGCAUUCAUAUUUUGCUCAAUAUUAAAUACAGAUACAUCAAUAUGUAGCUGAUAGAGACCGUUAAUAAGAAAACCAUCUACAACUUUAUUAUUUUCAUAAAAAAUAUUAUAAUGGUCCUUAUGAAAGCUAAUCACAUAGCC
rnacentral:lncRNA from 1 species